ACACGGAAACCGAUUCAGUCUGCUCUCUCGCAUCGACCAAACUAACGAGCACCAUUUUAAACUGAUGACUGUUUGUUUAAAUUCUGUUUUACAUGACUUGGACGGCAAACCUUUGAGAGUUGCCAAAGUUGGAUUUACUUUUUGCCACUUCAGGCAGUCCCAGCGGUGAUCCCGUGAACAUGGAAAGUCUGUAAAUAAAAUACUCCGCAAGGUACUGGCUUAUCGAGGACCCAGUUUUGCUUCAAAUGGUAAGUAUGCGAUUUGUAUGCUUUAUUAUGAUAAAUCAGCAAUGUUGCAAUGCUUUAUCCUUCCGCUCACAAUUAAAUCUCAUAUUAAAUAGGCUCAUCUCUUGAAAUAAAAGACGUGUGCUGCAGACGGAGCAUAACGUAGACUACAUAUAUACGAUGCUUCUACAAUGCGCAUUGACUACGGACGACUCCGUCAGUCAUCUCUGCCUAUUAUCGCAGCGUUAAUUUAUAUGACGAAUCGCAUCAAGCCCAACUAGUUUGCAAACACCCAUUCAUAAAGUUACCCGAUAGUGAUAGUGAGGCAGGAGGCUGUAUUCUUAUAGUAACAAACCUACCAAAUGCAUAUGUUGCUGAUUCGUCCGUAGCGGGAUGCAUCUUCUCCCUUAUUCAGAAUAUAUUUAGUCUUCUCUUUUUCGACACAGUGCUCAGACUGAAGCUGGCAAAGCUUCCUCUCCAACAGACGGGAUCAGACACAAAAAGCACGCUGUUUAUUGGAAAAUUGCAAUGUCUGAUCAUGCAAAAACUUUGGAGAGCCAAAACAAACAACUGAUUCACGUCAUGUGUUGUUAGGCGAGAGACUGGAAAUAUAAGUUGACGUGUCGUCCGAGCAGAAUAUCAUUUGAUUGCCUCUGGAAAUGAUAAGUAAGCUUUACAGCAGGCAGAGAGAGAGAGAGAGAUCCUGUGCGCCUUUUUCUCUCCUACAGUAAUAUGGCCAAAACGCGCUCGUACGCCGCUGCUUUGUGUGGGCUAUUGAAGCGAGAGGGAGGGGGUGAAGUCAGAACAGACACCUGUCUUUAAGUAUGGCGAGAAAGCUUUAUGAGAUUUUGCAUAUUAGGAAAUAUAUGGAGAAAGCAAGCCAAGACGCAAUAUCAGCCAAGCUAUUAUUAAACACGUAAAAAUUAAUUUAGCAUAAAUAAUUUAAUAAAUGCUCUAACUUUAUCCUACAAAAUGCUAAUACAUGAAUUAUUAUUAUUAUUAUUAUUAUUAUUAUUAUUAUUAUUAUUAUUAUUAUUAUUAUUAUUAAGAAAUAUGUUUGCGUCAGUAAUGACAUAAGAGGGUAAUUAACCUUUUAGCAGAUACUCCUUUAGCAUGUAUGCAUCAGGCAGACAGUAGGAAGGCCUAUAUAUAAAUUAUGACUGCCCAAUGAACCACGCGUAAAUAUGCACAGAAAUUUGCGCACUAUUUUGUUAACGCAUAAACGUUCCCACAGCAGCACAACUGCUUAACUAUUAGACCCCCCACUUGAAAACUCUUGUCCUGCAGUUUUUCUUAAUUCGCGGAUUUAAAAGUUUCCUGUGUGAUUUGUACUGGUUCUCCCUUUCAAGCAGAGGAUAAAAGCAGUAUAUGCUCAGCAAGCCUGCAUGCACAUAACAAUUGCGCUGCCCAACGGGAUCAGUAUCGAUUAAGAGGAGACAGAGGAUGUCGCCUGCACUAAAUAUUUACUGAUCACAGACAAAUAGCUAGAUCUUUAACGAUUUCCCAUGCUCUGACAGGGAGAAAGGACUAAAUCACUUUAUUAUUGUUAGUAAAACAAAGCACAGUCUCUGGAACACGGGACUGGAGAUGUGCUGAUUGGAAUGAUUGCAGUUAAAUUAAUCGAUAGCGAGAUAGACAAUUCUUGAGAUUUACGAGCGUGCGAAGGAAAAGCUUUCCCUCCAAUAUCAGGUUAAACUGGGAAGUGCGCUCCGACGUGAUUAUAUUCUGCAAAACGUUAUAGACAUAUACUAAAAACCGAAUUUAGUCAAAAAUAAUAAUUUAAUUCCUACAAAUAUGCUUUUAAAACGCACCAAGAUCUAAAAAAGAAAAUUGAACUGCUGACGGCCAAAGAGCUCUCUCACACUUGUGCUAAAUGUCAAAAAUGAAAAAAAAAAAAGUUGACUUUAAUCUUCCUCCACCAAGUCCUUCAUGCAGAUAGAGGGAUACUGACCCGGAGGUCUCCAAGUUCCCGGCCUGAUUAACCCUUCCAGACCCGAGCAGGAGCAAAGGUUAACCAGUCUAAUCAACUUCAAGAGUCUGAUUGAAUUAGAUGACUGUGUGGAAUCAAGACAGAAACUAAACUGUGCCACUUAAAAAACACCCCGAAGAGAGAUAUUGGUCAUGUUUUUGCCCACUGACGCAAUUUAAAUCAAAAUAUCAUAAAUGAAGAAAGAAUUUCAGAUAACUUAUAAGCUGAUUAUUUUCUAGUUAAAAAGGCAGCACGUCAAAAAAGAUUACAAGCACAACACACACAUUAGUAUAAAAAACAAAACAAAGAGCCAAAAAACAAAACAAAACAAACAACAACAAAAAAAAACUUAACACCUCCAAAUUGUUUCUCCUUCAUUUGAUUAUGGUGGAUGUGUCCCAUAUUUCAUGGGACUUUCAUCUGUUGCAUUGAAUAUCAAUCAGUAUCUUUUACCUCCGGUAAAGGUUGACUCUUUGGAAUGGUAGGUCUUUGUGAUAUUAUGGGUAGGGAAAAAAGAAACAAACCAAAUAUUCAAAUUUUUUGUUUAUUUUUAUUUUUUUUACCAAUAUUAUUACAGGACCAAAGAACAAAAAGGCAGCAUAAGAAAAGUAGCAUGAUGUAGGGAUAUUUUAAGGUUUACAUUUUUAUGAUAAAUAAACAAACUUAACUUAAUUACAUCAUUAAUAUAGAAUUUGUUGUAUUUUAUUUUAUUUUUUGGCUUUUAUUCUGACCAGACGUACACUGUAGUUUAUUUUGAUAUGAAUAUUUUAAUGGUUACAUUGCUCUAAACAGGGAUUUUGUAAGGUUUAAAGACUACUGUGCUUGUUUUUCUGAUGUAAAUGUAAUUUUAAUUUAGUCACAAAAAACAGCAUUCUACUACCUCCAGUAACAGCGCUUUAUUAUAAAUGUGGUAUGUGUGCAAGCAAGUUGACGGCAUACGCGUGCAGGCAGUAUAAAAGCAUUUAGCUAUGUGGCGUGUGAGGAAAAAGGUGUGUUUUAAAGUGUGUUCGUAUAAGCAGACAUGCAUGUUUCAAUUGAAAACCUUACAUAGAGUUCAUUCAGCGGCGUGGAUCACUUUCUCUCUGUCUGCUUGCCCCAAGGGCCACUAUCUAAAAAGGCAAUAGAUCCCAGAUAGCUCACUGUGUUCAAUUUGCCAAUGACAGAUUAUAGUGCCAGUUUAAACAGAUAGGGAUCAAUUUGUCUCAAUGAAUUCUUUAGGCUGACUGCCAGCAUGCUCUUAAUGUAUUUGUAAAUGCUUUUGGUUUGAAUCAUUGCUGUUAGGUUUAAAGUGAUCAAAACUGUAGAGAGAGAAAGAUGAGUGUUGUAAGCGAUGUGUUGUUUUGGCUGCUAAAGACUGCAUAGAUGGAGCAUGCAUGAUGAUUACUUCAGGCAGCAGCAUUGUAGCAGCAAUGACCAGAGGGUCAAUGGUUUAACUCCAAGGACUCGCUGGGAAAGUCUGGGUAGGGGAAUUGUGUGAUAAGUGCUCUCUAACCCCCAGAAACUGCUGCUGAAGUGCCCAUCGGCCAAGCAGAUUAAAUCCCAUCUGUCCCAGUGGAGCUGUACGGUGACCAUCAGUACAACAGUGCAGUUGUACCAGGCACUUGUGAUAUGUGUCUCUUUGAGCCCCUCACUUUUCUUUUUGAAAGAGAAGAGUGGGCAGUCAGCUUGCUUCACACUUUUUUUUUCAUGCACUCAGAGAGAAAAAGUUUGGGAGAAGAAAGAAGAGAGAAAGCCGUAGCAGCAUUCAGUCUCGAGCCAGACGUGGCUCACAUGUGGCCCCAAAGGCAGCAGACAGUGUAUUGAAUUACUGUAACUCAAGGUGUAAUGUGGUAGCAGUGGGGGAUAUGUAAAAACUACACAAACGGAUGUAGUGGAGGCUUACUUCAGCUUCAGCUUACCGUUACAGCUAUUCAGUGUUAAAGUGUGUUGUUUCUGUUCUUGAAGGUCAUUUACAGUCAUUUAUAGCUAUAACAGCAGCUUACGUUCUCAAGUGAUAAUCAGCCAGUAUUUGAUUAACCACUUAUUUCAAACUGCUUCUGUUUUAAAAGCCUUGUAUCUCCAGUUUAGUGAUUUUCAUAUAUGUUCCUUCCUUACUGAAUAACUUUAAUGUUUGUAGCAUGAGGUCUCGCAUUUGUGAGAUCUCAGAAAUACACAGUUUUUAUGUGAUGGUCUACCACGUAAAGUUAUGAGAUAACCAGUUAAGCAUUAAUGUUUUAUAUGUUAGUCAAGAAGUUAAUUAAAUAGCAUUGUGUAUAAUAUCAAUUUGCAACAUUUACCACUAAUAAAGUUUUAAGAUAUGAGCUGUGUUUUGACUGCUUUUAUCUUUAUAGCACCUACUGUAUCAUACAUGUUAAGAAUGAGGUUUUCCAGUUUUACUGUGAUUGUUUGCCUUAAAUCUAUGAGCUAUCAGUGUCUUGCUCUAGUAAUUUUGCUAACGAUGCUCACUGAAAUUAAGAUAAUAAAGUCCUGUUCAUUUUAUAUUUGAAUGAUAUUCCUGUGGUGUUAUUGUAAAAAAAAAUUACAAUAUCCUAUACGCAUCUCUGGUAAUUUAAUGAUUAGGAGUAAGGUACAAAUUAAGGAAUGCUUUGAUUAUCCAACUACAGCUUCUGCAGUUUUACCCUAAGUUUCAAAACUGAGAAGCAUUUGUCAAUUUUGAGAUUUAUGUGACUCACAGGGUUUCAACACAGUCGCACAUAAGCUUAAGCUGUGCAAUAUAACUUGAACCACUUUUGAACCCAAGAAAUGCAGACUGAGAAAUCAAUCCAGAGUAAAUGUUCUGUCAUCGAAAUGCACGUCAUUGUAAAAGCACUGCAGUCAUUGAUACUGUAACUAUGACUAAAACCAGUAGUCCACGAAUAUCGACAAUUUUAACCACAUCUCCACAGACACUUAUUCAGCAUUUGUUAUCAAAACAUGUUCUAUAAUAGCAAAUAUUGCAAUGCAAUUUUUUUAAAGUCACAUUUAAUCCACAUUUGUUCAGUGGUCAAUAAGGGAGGGAAUAAACGCAAGAUGGAACGUGAAUGGGAUCUGGAAAGACCUCCACGUCCGUAAUGACUCGACAUAAGAAGAAGAAAAUUUCAUGACUUCGAGAGUGAAAGCCAUUUGAAACCAAAAAUCCUGCAUUGUUUGUCUCAGUUACUUUAUCUUCACACGAGGAUAUACAGGAGUUACUUUUAGCUUUAUUUUAGAACGUGAGCCGCAACACUUACUGAGUUGAAUAUUAGACUUGUUUUUCUCACAAUAAAUUGAGAGGGGAGUUGUAAAAAUGUUGUGAUAAUGUGCAGAGGUUGAAAAAAUAAUGUCUUAUUGUGAUCUGAAAUAUAUGUUGAACAGUGUGUAUUUGAUAUACAAAGUUUUUAGAUCAGUGUGUAGCAACUAUAUUUCGCUACCACACUUCUUAUUUGCUAAUGUAUGAGGGUUGGGAUUAGCAUUUUGUUAUUAAUGCAAACUCUUGAACAUACUACUAGAAGUCAAAAAAUGAAUUCAGUAUGUAGUACUUCAAGCUGUGCAGUAGCGGGAUGAUUGCCCAAAGGUAAAAGUGCAUCUUCUAAAUGUGAACUGUGAAAAUAAACGAGCAAACAACUGUAAUGUUAAACAAACUGACUGAAAAUAACUAUAGAAAUAAAAAACUCUAAAUGCCUGAAGAUAUCACAAA